UGAGAGAGAGAAAGAGAUAUUAUUAUUAUUAUUAUCGUACCCCUUCGGAUAAACUUGAAUCGCUAGAAAGACCCUUCGAGUUCGACAACGCGCCAAGCUGGGCGUUCAAAAUGUUUCCUAGAAAGUUGAACGCGUUCGACGCUUUGGUAUCGAGAUUCUCC